ACCUCUCUGGUGUAUCGGUUAACAUAGCGGAUUCUCAUGAUAAUAUCAUCAUUUUCCGUUGCGCGGGGUUCGACUCCCCGGAGGGGUA